rnacentral:lncRNA from 1 species
CACAAUGUUGCUAGGAUAUUAGGAUGUCAACAGAAUGAAACGCUACCAUCAUGAGUACCAAAAGGAAAGACCAAGAAGGGAACUGAGCUGCAGAUUGUGAGAAGAAACUGAAUUUAAAACAAAUUUCAGAGGAAAGGUAACUUGUAAAACAAGGCCUCAGAAUUACAAGUGGACUCAAAAUCUAAGCACUGGGUCUUCUCUUCCCAGGCAAUUGUACCAUCAAUUGGCAGACUUCCUAAGUGCUAACUCUAUUGUGUUGAUAAAAGGGCUUGAAUCCAUCACAACAAGGCUACCUGAACAGCAUUGCGAGAAUUUAUGAUUCCAAGCCCCAGUGGAAGAACCUGAAAUGGCAGUAUAUUCUCAGUCUUCUCUACAAAUAUGCCCUAGGUUAUAUUUCCAAAAAGAACGUCAUGUCUUAUGUGACUGUUAUGGAUCAGUAUACUAAAAAAGGACCUGUCAAGUACAGAAGUAAAAACUACAAGUCUCAGAAGAUCCCUACUUUCACCUCUUCAAGAAAGUCUCUGUCCUCACAUUCAUAGUCUAUUCUUAAGCACUGCUCUUAGUGGGCAAGGCUCUGAGCACAUUUCAAGAUGGAGUCUGGCAAUCAUGACCUCAUUGACUCCAUAAUAAGAUCCUAAGCUACUUUAGGAAUGAUCUCUCCCAACUCUGUUCAGGCUGAUUGUGAAGUAGAGCCAUAGGAUUAAUAGUUUUACCCAUUGAGUUGUACUAAUGAAGUAUAGAUUACAAACAAGGGGGCUUUUAAUCUGCCUUGACCUUUGCCUGUGCAACAUGGUGAAAUUCGGAGGUAUUAGGGAGGCCCAGGGAAUAAACAUAUCUGCCUGUACA